rnacentral:rRNA from 1 species
UUCCCCUACGGGACGCAGCAGUGAGGAAUAUUGGUCAAUGGUCGGGAGACUGAACCAGCCAAGCCGCGUGAGGGAGGAAGGUACAGAGUAUCGUAAACCUCUUUUGUCAGGGAACAAAGGCGGGGACGUGUCCCCGGAUGAGUGUACCUGAAGAAAAAGCAUCGGCUAACUCCGUGCCAGCAGCCGCGGUAAUACGGAAGGUCCGGGCGUUAUCCGGAUUUAUUGGGUUUAAAGGGAGCGUAGGCCGGCUUUUAAGUCAGCUGUGAAAGUCCGCGGCUCAACCGUGGAAUUGCAGUUGAAACUGG